GGACGAACGCUGGCGGCGUGCCUAAUACAUGCAAGUCGAACGAGCUCUCCUAAAUUGAUUUUAUGCUUGCAUAAAUGAUUUUUAGAUUCGGAGCGAGUGGCGAACUGGUGAGUAACACGUGGGUAACCUGCCCCGAAGCGGGGGAUAACAUUUGGAAACAAAUGCUAAUACCGCAUAAUUAGUUGGAACCGCAUGGUUCCAACUUGAAAGAUGGCUCUGCUAUCACUUUGGGAUGGACCCGCGCCGUAUUAGUUAGUUGGUGAGAUAAAAGCCCACCAAGACGAUGAUACGUAGCCGACCUGAGAGGGUAAUCGGCCACAUUGGGACUGAGACACGGCCCAGACUCCUACGGGAGGCAGCAGUAGGGAAUCUUCCACAAUGGACGAAAGUCUGAUGGAGCAACGCCGCGUGAGUGAUGAAGGUUUUCGGAUCGUAAAACUCUGUUGUUAAAGAAGAACAAGUGUUAGAGUAACUGUUAACACUUUGACGGUAUUUAACCAGAAAGCCACGGCUAACUACGUGCCAGCAGCCGCGGUAAUACGUAGGUGGCAAGCGUUGUCCGGAUUUAUUGGGCGUAAAGCGAGCGCAGGCGGUUUUGUAAGUCUGCUGUGAAAGCCCUCAGCUCAACUGAGGAAAGUGCAGUGGAAACUACAAAACUUGAGUACAGAAGAGGAAAGUGGAACUCCAUGUGUAGCGGUGAAAUGCGUAGAUAUAUGGGAAGAACACCAGUGGCGAAGGCGGCUUUUCUGGUCUGUUACUGACGCUGAGGCUCGAAAGCAUGGGUAGCGAACAGGAUUAGAUACCCUGGUAGUCCAUGCCGUAAACGAUGAAUACUAGGUGUUGGAGGGUUUCCGCCCUUCAGUGCCGCAGCUAACGCAUUAAGUAUUCCGCCUGGGGAGUACGACCGCAAGGUUGAAACUCAAAGGAAUUGACGGGGGCCCGCACAAGUGGUGGAGCAUGUGGUUUAAUUCGAUGCUACGCGAAGAACCUUACCAGCUCUUGACAUCUUCUGCCAACCCAAGAGAUUGGGCGUUCCCUUCGGGGACAGAAUGACAGGUGGUGCAUGGUUGUCGUCAGCUCGUGUCGUGAGAUGUUGGGUUAAGUCCCGCAACGAGCGCAACCCUUAUUAUUAGUUGCCAGCAUUUAGUUGGGCACUCUAGUGAGACUGCCGGUGAUAAACCGGAGGAAGGUGGGGACGACGUCAAAUCAUCAUGCCCCUUAUGAGCUGGGCUACACACGUGCUACAAUGGAUGGUACAACGAGUCGCGAAACCGCGAGGUCAAGCUAAUCUCUUAAAGCCAUUCUCAGUUCGGAUUGCAGGCUGCAACUCGCCUGCAUGAAGUUGGAAUCACUAGUAAUCGUGGAUCAGCAUGCCACGGUGAAUACGUUCCCGGGCCUUGUACACACCGCC
rnacentral:rRNA from 1 species